rnacentral:rRNA from 1 species
GAUGAACGCUGACAGAAUGCUUAACACAUGCAAGUCGACCUGAAUUUGGGUUUUUAACUUAGGUUUGGGUGGCGGACGGGUGAGUAACGCGUAAAGAACUUGCCUCACAGCUAGGGACAACAUUUGGAAACGAAUGCUAAUACCUAAUAUUAUGAUAAUAGGGCAUCCUAUAAUUAUGAAAGCUAUAAGCGCUGUGAGAGAGCUUUGCGUCCCAUUAGCUAGUUGGAGAGGUAACGGCUCACCAAGGCGAUGAUGGGUAGCCGGCCUAAGAGGGUGAUCGGCCACAAGGGGACUGAGACAGGGCCCUUACUCCUACGGGAGGCAGCAGUGAGGAAUAAUGGACGAUGGACCGAGAGUCUGAUCAAGCAAUUCUGUGUGCACGAUGAAGUUUUUCGGAAUGUAAAGUGCUUUCAGUUGGGAAGAAACAAAUGACGGUACCAACAGAAGAAGUGACGGCUAAAUACGUG